rnacentral:rRNA from 1 species
UACGGGGGGAGCAAGCGUUGUUCGGAUUUACUGGGCGUAAAGGGCGCGUAGGCGGUCUGUUAAGUCGGAUGUGAAAACUCUGGGCUCAACCCAGAGCCUGCAUCCGAAACUGGCAGGCUAGAGUUCUGGAGGGGGUAGCGGAAUUCCUGGUGUAGCGGUGAAAUGCGUAGAUAUCAGGAGGAACACCGGUGGCGAGGGCGGCUACCUGGACAGAAACUGACGCUGAGGCGCGAAAGCUAGGGGAGCAAACAGG